GACGUAGGGCGCGAGCGUUGUCCGGAUUUAUUGGGCGUAAAGGGCUCGUAGGCGGUUUGUCGCGUCGGGAGUGAAAACACCGGGCUUAACUCGGUGCUUGCUUUCGAUACGGGCAGACUUGAGGCAUGCAGGGGAGAACGGAAUUCCUGGUGUAGCGGUGAAAUGCGCAGAUAUCAGGAGGAACACCGGUGGCGAAGGCGGUUCUCUGGGCAUGUUCUGACGCUGAGGUGCGAAAGCGUGGGGAGCAAACAGG
rnacentral:rRNA from 1 species